GCUGAAAGCAUCUAAGCACGAAACUUGCCCCGAGAUGAGUUCUCCCUGACCCUUUAAGGUCCUGAAGGAACGUUGAAGACGACGACGUUGAUAGGCCGGGUGUGUAAGCGCAGCGAUGCGUUGAGCUAACCGGUACUAAUGAACCGUGAGGCUUAACCUU
rnacentral:rRNA from 1 species